UGCGUAGGUGGUUUCUUAAGUCAGGAGUGAAAGGCUACGGCUUAACCGUAGUAAGCUCUUGAAACUGGGAAACUUGAGUGCAGGAGAGGAAAGUGGAAUUCCUAGUGUAGCGGUGAAAUGCGUAGAUAUUAGGAGGAACACCAGUAGCGAAGGCGGCUUUCUGGACCGUAACUGACACUGAGGCACGAAAGCGUGGGGAGCAAACA
rnacentral:rRNA from 1 species